rnacentral:lncRNA from 1 species
GAAAAUGGAGAAGUUUGAUUGGAAGUUUAAUAAUAAGGUAUAAUGAAAAUGAACAAAGGUCCAUUUAUAGGGUUGUAUAUACAAUUACCUUUACAUCAAAUGAAUCACAUAUGGUUUAUAAGAGAUAAUUACAACAAACAGUAAGCUGAUGAUAGUAACCUCAGGAAAUUAGCUCUUAUGAGGGUAGUUAGCUAAGGGUCUUGAUUAGCUUGUUUUAAUUCUUGAUGAGGUUGUAGUGUGAAUGCUAUCACAUGAGUGUGACAUAUUUGAUUUUCUCUUGAUGGUACCCCUAAAUGAGAUUGGAGUUUGGAUGAUAAUUCAUAAGCGAGAUUCCGUUUACAUGAGACUCCGUUGAUUCUUCUAUGUUUAAGUACCAAAAUUUAAAUCUCUAAAAUCAUUGUCCCAAACAACCAUCACUCAUUGAGAGGUAUAUCCUUAAUAAGCACGUGGAAGCACCGAGUGAAGCAUUGAUAAGACCGAUUCAUGUAUGAUGAGGAUGCGUCUACUUUUUAAGCCCACACUAAGCCACCAUGGAGUGGAAGUGGACUAUAUUUGUGGAGGGACAAUUCCUGAUUGAAGAGAUGUGGCACUUAUUGAGAGGCGAAUGUAGCACAUCAACACUCUUUCGUUGGUAGAGCACCAUGUGGUCUUAGGAGCUAGCCUUAAGAAUGGCCCAAUAAGACUCUCGAUUGUGACCCCAUGUUAGGUGAAACCACCCACUCAAAGGAAUAGAAACUUACAAGGAUUUCCAUCUUCCAAGAUCAAGACUCAAACCCUUGAUUAAUUAUGGUUUUUGUGAAGAUUCGACAUUCAAAUUUCCAGCAUUUUUGUGAAGCUUCAGACUUCAAAUCUCCACAAGUGUCCUCCAUCCAAGUAGGUGGGGUCUAAGCUUGUUCACAUCAGAUAAUUGAACAGGUUAAUUUCAGGAAGAAAUCUUCUGCUCCUUCUUCUAGACAUCUGAUCAAUACCCAUUAACCAUUCUCAGAUCAGAAAGUGAAUCAACGAGCCAUUCAUUUAUUCUGAAUGUGAAGAAUUCAAUUGUAUCAAAAGGGUGUGGACAAAUCUUCAAUUAUGUUCUCACCUGGUAAUCCUAGAAGGGAUAUUCUCAGAGGACAUGAUCACAACUGGGAUGUCUUUAAGAGAUGUAGACUCCUGCAGAUUCAUUUUGAAUUCUAAUUAAUUGUUGGGACUAACUUGGCGUGAAAAAAAUAAGAUGCUGAAAUGUAAUAAUUGGGCAAAUGAAGAUACCUUGAUCUUUCUUAGGAGAUCAUAGCCAGUCAUUCCAGGCAUAGAAUAAUCUGUAAUAAUUAAAUUGACUUUCCUUUCCUGUUCUGCCUCUUGCACACCCAGGAAUUCAAGAGCUUUACUCACAGAAUCUAAAACAGUAACUGUCCAAAAAACCCACCAAAAAAAAAUAAAAUUUAAUAAUCAAAACCCCAAAAAUAAAAAUAAAAAUGAAAAAAAUAAAAAUAAAAAAGAAAGAAAGAAAGAAAGAAAAAUUCGAUCUUCUUAUCAACAUACCUUGAAAAGAAGAGGUUUUGAGGAGUUUCUCAAUCCAUUUUCUAUCAAUGAGGCUGUCAUCAACAGCUAGAACAUGAAACUGCGACUCUGCAGCCAUACCCAUUGCCUUGUUGCACCCAAAAAAGGCCAGCAAAAAGAAGUAUGUCUUGAUGAAAGAAAGCGAAAAUGAGAGAUGAAUGCACAUGGGUGGGAGAUGGAGUUUGUGGGUUUAUAAGUGAACCUAUCUGGCUAUAAUGAGAGCACGAUCUGAGAGACUUCAUCCAGAAUCUUGAGGAUGUUCAUUGACCUUUGGCCAACUGCUUGAGCUAGCAGAAGGUGUCCUAGGGUCUUUUGAAUAGUGUUUAAGGGUACAACUUGCUUUAAAAAAUUGAGUUGAGGGCACUUACAAGAACCCUUACACACAUGCAUCCAUCACCAAAAUUUCAUAAUUUUUAUUCAUGUGGAAUUAGGAAAUAUUGGCUUCAUUCAUGUCACUUUCCCUGAAACUACACGGUCAUUCGUAUAUUAAAAUGAUGAUAAUGGUCAAACAUGUAGCUCUUCCCCAACAAAUAGGUCUUGUGUUCCUUUCUCAUAUAUAAACAUAUUUAUUUGAUAGCUCAAUGCCUUGCAGGAGCCUACCAGGACUUGCCAUACCAACAAUUGAAAAAUUGGUAUAUGGUCCUUGUCAAAUUAAUUAAUUUAUAAUUAAAGAAGGAAAAGCAUAUAUCUUUUAUGUACUUCACAUUUUUAGCUUUGGUUGAUUGUGUAACAUCAUCAUAUUCAAAAGUAAUCAAAUAAUUUAUUUAUAUUUUGUACAAUUUUCGAAAUUUUAUUUGAAAAGAUUUUAUUGAUUUAAUUUUCAAAAUUUAUUUAUAGAUCUUACAUUCAUUAAAGAAUGGUUUAUUGACAGCACUAUCCUUCAAAGCUAAUGAUAAUAGAAAUAAGCGAGGACGAUUGAGAAAGAUUUACAGGUAGAGGAAUAAUGCUUCCCACUUCCCAUCUUCAUAAUAUAAUAUUUGAGUGGCUCUUGGAUUGGAUAAGGGUCGCAUCGAUUUUCCAGUGGCCUUUUGAUCAGGACUUGUAAGAUGACCCCCAUACACUUCCAUGGCUGAUUAGGCCUCGUGGUCCAUGCUUAAUUUAAUUGUAAUUUUUCAAAUUUUCAAUUUUUUUUUUCUCAUUUUGGUGUGGGUAUUUUGAAAUGGUUUUAUUUAUUCAUUUGUGUGAAUUGGGUGUCUUGAAGCUCAUUGACUGAAAGGGAAGAUGGUUGGUUGGUUGUAAUUUGAUUUUGUUUGGUAUUCAUUGUAAGAAGUAUGAAAUAUAGAAAAAAAAAGUAAUCUAAAAAUUUUUUGGUGACUUAUUUAAUUCUAUAAUGGAUUAUGUAAUUACCCAAGUUUACGGGUGUUUCUAUUAAAAGCGUUUUUACUAAAAAAUGUUUUCUUCUGCUGUACUUUUAUGAAAAACGUUUUUUUUUAAUUUAAAAAGGUGAUUUUAAUAGUACUUUUGACAAUAUGUUGCAUAAAUAUAAAACCGCUUUUAAUAUUAAUAAAUUACUAAAAUGAACAUUCAUUACAAAAGGAAAAUAUUAUAAUAAACUAAAAACUUUUAUUAGACAAAAAUAUAUAAACAUUUAUAUUAUUAAAAAAUCUCAAAAAAUUACUUUUAUGAUUAUGAAAAUAGAAACAAUGUAAAGUAUAUGAAAAAAUAGAAUUAAUAUCAAUGAACUUACAACAUGAUAAGCUUGCGGUAAUUUUCGAUGAGAUUGUAUAAAAUCUCAAAAUUAUUUUUUGGAUAUUAAUUCUUUGGUUGUUGACUUGUUUGGAUAUUAAUUCUUUGGUUGUUGGCUUGUUGGUGAAAAUUUUUCAUAAAAAAUUAAAGAGAGUGAAAGGGAAAAAAAAAAAAAAAAAAGGAAGGGUAGUGGGAAAUACUAUGGGUAUUUUAGGAAUAUUUGAAGUUUUUUUUUAGGGGAUUAAAAAACACUGUCAAACCGGUUCUAAAUAGGGUAUUUUAUGUAAUUUAGUUUUUACUUGGUUCAACAACUUUGUUCUUAACAUUGCUUUGACAAAAACUAUUUAGGUCAAUUAAUGGGUGAAGUUUUUUGGAUAUUAAAUAAGAGAGUGACUCCUUUAUAAUACAUGUUUAUGUUUUAAAGCCUUCCAACUCAUAAGCAAUAGAACAUAGGAAUGAUACGAAAGUCAAUUCUUAAUAGAAAGUGUGUAUAGUGUGUAUAAUGUGACCACCUAUGUCCAGAGACAAACCACACCAUUGUUUGUAUGAGACAAUGAAUAUGACGUUAGGGCAUUGAUCAAUCAUAUCAAAGUUGGUUCUUGAUAGAACGUGUCUUAAGUUUAACUCCACAUAUGUCCCAAGAGGCCAAAACAUCAUGCUCGUAUGAAAUGAAAAAUUCAAAUAUAGUGCUACCUCGGUUAAUCAUAGUUACAUUUGGACAAUAAUCACGUUCAAUUUAUGUUACCAAUUGGGAUAGUGUCCCAAAUCUCAAUUCGAAUACAAAAACUUAAAACUCGAAGUUGAGGUGACUAUUUUUUAUAUGGGACCAACAAAUGUUUUGAUGGCAAAGUAGGGGAAGGCCUUCAAUAUACCUAUGACUUAAAUGAAAUGGAAAAAAAUGGUAUAAUUUAAGAGAAAAAUAAGUUACCGAAGUUAUAUUUUUAUUUUUUAUAGGAAUCGAAAAAGCAUCAUCAAUCAUAUAAUAUCAUAUUUACAAUUUUCAAGUCUAGUUAUAUUUGUACUUUCCUUGUACCACCUAAAUUUUAUCAUAUAUAUAUAUUCAACAAUACAAUUUGGACUUUGGUAAAUACUAUGGAAGUUAGUAUUUUCCUCAAAGUUAUGUUAUUUGUAAUAACCAUAAUUGUGAUGUCACAAAUUUCUAUACACAUUUUAUAUCAUAAUUUAAUUGAUUGAUUACUUUAAUUUUUAUCAAAAUAGCUUCAUAGGGCCCAAAAAAAAAUACAUACAUAAAUUAAAUUCAAUCUAUUUCAUGUCUAAGUAUGUAAGGGAAAAUGCGGAAGUUAAAAAUCUUCUUCUUUUUCAAAUUUCUUCAAGAUCUUUGGAGGAUUCAAAUCUUUUUCAUCCCCAAGAUCCUCGAUAUCUCUUCCAAGUUCUUCAAAAUUUCUCCACCUUGUUCAAGUCUUCAAACUGCUUUAUGGAGAUCAAAUUCUCCUCUGAUCUUCUACAAGAAUCCGCAAGAUUUUCCAAUCUUUGUGACUUCAAAGCUUCUUCGAAUCUGCCAACCUUGGAGAUUCAGAUCACCAAAAUAUCUGUACUUGAUCCCAGAUUUAAAGGAGAUCAAACUUCAACCCCUUUUUUUUUUUGAAGAUUGAAAAUCCAAAUUUGAUUCAAAAUUCAAAUCUCCAAAAGGGUUCUGGAUCCGAGUAGAUGUGGCCUAAGCUUGUUCACAUCUGAUAACUGAACAGGUUUCAGAAAGAAAUCUUCUGCUCCUUCUUC